rnacentral:rRNA from 1 species
GAUGAACGCUGGCGGCGUGCCUAAUACAUGCAAGUCGAGCGAACAGACGAGGAGCUUGCUCCUCUGACGUUAGCGGCGGACGGGUGAGUAACACGUGGAUAACCUACCUAUAAGACUGGGAUAACUUCGGGAAACCGGAGCUAAUACCGGAUAAUAUAUUGAACCGCAUGGUUCAAUAGUGAAAGACGGUUUUGCUGUCACUUAUAGAUGGAUCCGCGCCGCAUUAGCUAGUUGGUAAGGUAACGGCUUACCAAGGCAACGAUGCGUAGCCGACCUGAGAGGGUGAUCGGCCACACUGGAACUGAGACACGGUCCAGACUCCUACGGGAGGCAGCAGUAGGGAAUCUUCCGCAAUGGGCGAAAGCCUGACGGAGCAACGCCGCGUGAGUGAUGAAGGUCUUCGGAUCGUAAAACGCUGUUAUUAGGGAAGAACAAAUGUGUAAGUAACUAUGCACGUCUUGACGGUACCGAAUCAGAAAGCCACGGCUAACUACGUG